rnacentral:rRNA from 1 species
UUAUGGCUCAGAACGAACGCUGGCGGCAGGCUUAACACAUGCAAGUUGAGCGGGAUAAUUGAUAGCUUGCUAUAAUAUGAGAGCAGCGCACUGGUGAGUAACACGUGGGAACAUACCUUUUGGUGGGGGACAACAGUUGGAAACGACUGCUAAUACCGCAUAAGCCCUAAGGGGGAAAGAUUAAUUGCCGAAAGAUUGGCCCGCGGAAGAUUAGGUAGUAGUGGGGUAACGGCCUACCUAGCCGACGAUCUAUAGCUGGGUCUGAGAGGACGAUCAGCCACAUUGGAACUGGGACACGGUCCAGACUCCUACGGGAGGCAGCAGUGAGGAAUAUUGGGCAAUGGAGGCAACUCUGAACCCCAGCCAUGCCGCGUGAGUGAAGAAGGUUUUCGGAUUGUAAAGCUCUUUCAGACGGGAAGAUGAUGACGGUACCGUCAGAAGAAGCACCGGCUAACUUCGUGCCAGCCGCCGC